rnacentral:rRNA from 1 species
CACGGGGGGAGCAAGCGUUGUUCGGAAUCACUGGGCGUAAAGGGCGUGUAGGCGGUCUGGUAAGUGGGAUGUGAAAGCCCCCGGCUCACCCGGGGAUCUGCAUUCCAAACUGCCAGACUUGAGUAUGGGAGAGGACAGGGGAAUUCCUGGUGUAGCGGUGAAAUGCGUAGAUAUCAGGAGGAACACCGGUGGCGAAGGCGCCUGUCUGGCCCAAUACUGACGCUGAGGCGCGAAAGCUAGGGGAGCGAACAGG